rnacentral:rRNA from 1 species
GACCGUCGGGCUGCGGGUCGACGAUUCUACGGGAGGCAGCAGUGGGGAAUCUUAGACAAUGGGGGAAACCCUGAUCUAGCCAUGCCGCGUGAGUGAUGAAGGCCUUAGGGUCGUAAAGCUCUUUCGCCAGGGAUGAUAAUGACAGUACCUGGUAAAGAAACCCCGGCUAACUCCGUGCCAGCAGCCGCGGUAAUACGGAGGGGGUUAGCGUUGUUCGGAAUUACUGGGCGUAAAGCGCGCGUAGGCGGAUUAGUCAGUCAGAGGUGAAAUCCCAGGGCUCAACCCUGGAACUGCCUUUGAUACUGCUAGUCUAGAGUUCGAGAGAGGUGAGUGGAAUUCCGAGUGUAGAGGUGAAAUUCGUAGAUAUUCGGAGGAACACCAGUGGCGAAGGCGGCUCACUGGCUCGAUACUGACGCUGAGGUGCGAAAGUGUGGGGAGCAAACAGGAUUAGAUACCCUGGUAGUCCACACCGUAAACGAUGAAUGCCAGUCGUCGGCAAGUAUACUUGUCGGUGACACACCUAACGGAUUAAGCAUUCCGCCUGGGGAGUACGGUCGCAAGAUUAAAACUCAAAUGAAUUGACGG